rnacentral:rRNA from 1 species
GAUGAACGCUGGCGGCGUGCCUAAUACAUGCAAGUCGGGCGAAUGGAUUGAGAGCUUGCUCUUAUGAAGUUAGCGGCGGACGGGUGAGUAACACGUGGGUAACCUGCCCAUAAGACUGGGAUAACUCCGGGAAACCGGGGCUAAUACCGGAUAACAUUUUGAACCGCAUGGUUCGAAAUUGAAAGGCGGCUUCGGCUGUCACUUAUGGAGGGACCCGCGUCGCAUUAGCGAGUUGGUGAGGUAACGGCUCACCAAGGCAACGAUGCGUAGCCGACCUGAGAGGGUGAUCGGCCACACUGGGACUGAGACACGGCCCAGACUCCUACGGGAGGCAGCAGUAGGGAAUCUUCCGCAAUGGACGAAAGUCUGACGGAGCAACGCCGCGUGAGUGAUGAAGGCUUUCGGGUCGUAAAACUCUGUUGUUAGGGAAGAACAAGUGCUAGUUGAAUAAGCUGGCACCUUGACGGUACCUAACCAGAAAGCCACGGCUAACUACGUGCCAGCCGCCGCUGUAA